rnacentral:rRNA from 1 species
UACAGAGGGGGCCAGCGUUAUUCGGAAUUAUUGGGCGUAAAGGGCGCGUAGGCGGCCAUGCGUGUCUUCCGUGAAAUCCCUCGGCUUAACUGAGGACGUGCGGAAGAAACUGCAAGGCUUGAGUCCGGGAGAGGGGGGUGGAAUUCCCAGUGUAGCGGUGAAAUGCGUAGAGAUCGGCAGGAACACCCAGGGGGAAACCAGCCGACUGGGCAUCUACUGACGCUGAGGUGCGAGAGCGUGGGGAGCGAACCGG